rnacentral:rRNA from 1 species
UGAGGGGGGCUGCUCCUAGUACGAGAGGACCGGAGUAGACGCAUCACUGGUGUUCGGGUUGUCAUGCCAAUGGCACUGCCCGGUAGCUAAAUGCGGAAGAGAUAAGUGCUGAAAGCAUCUAAGCACGAAACUUGCCCCGAGAUGAGUUCUCCCUGACUCCUUGAGAGUCCUGAAGGAACGUUGAAGACGACGACGUUGAUAGGCCGGAUGUGUAAGCGCAGCGAUGCGUUGAGCUAACCGGUACUAAUGAACCGUGAGGCUUAACCUUACAACGCCGAAGGUGUUU